rnacentral:lncRNA from 1 species
GUCGAAGGAGAGCAUUUAUUUUCUGGCAAAUAAUAGUGCUGGAAUAGCUCUAAUGCCAAAAUGGUUUGCUGGUAAGACUGUUUUAGUUAAAAUCCAUAGGAAUCUAAUUUGGGAACAGAAACCAUUAGAAUAGUUCAGUUGGAAGGGACCUAUGAAGUUCGUCGACACCAACUGCCCAACGACUUCAGGGCUAACCAAAAGUUAAAGCGUGUUACUGAGGGCAUUAUCCAAAUGCCUCUUGAACGCUGACAGCCAUGGGGCACCAACCACCUCCCUAGGGAGCCUGUUCCAGUGUUUGACUACCCUCACCGUAGCGAAAUGUUUCCUAAUGUCCAGCAAACUUGAGCAAAUGCCUGAGCAAACCUGGAGCAGCUUUGUGCCGUUCCCAUGUGUCCCUGUCACCGGUGACCAGGGAGCAGAGGCCAGUGCCUCCCUCUCCACUUCCCCUCCCCAGGAAGCUGCAGAGAGCACUGAUGUCACCUCUUAGCCUCCUUUUCCCCAGACUGGACAUCCCAAUGUCCUCAGCCUCUCCUCACAGGACACGACUUCCAGCCUUGUUGCCUUUUUUCCCAAGCCCCCCAUCAGAAAUUUCCACAAAGAUAAAAUUUUGUCUGCUGGAGUCGUUUGAUCAGCCAGCUAUGUAGAUAGCAGAGGCACGAGGCCAGUCUCUUGCUGUACACCCUUGUGUUAGCUCUACCUGUUGCUGCAUUUCUUGCCUACGCCUUGGUGUGAAAUCACUGCUUUGCUCAGCGAGAUUAAAAAAUUCUCUGUGAUCUUGCCACUGUUCCUUGCAUUAUAAUUCACACAGAAGUGGUGACAGCGUGCGCAUAGGUCAGCAGACUGAUGCCUGUAGCUUCCUCUCCUGCUACUUAUCUUUCACAAUUAUACCACAGUAGCACAGAGAGCUUUCAAGCAAAAGCAGAAAGGUGCAACCAUUCUGCAAAAAAAAAAAAAAAAACAUAAAAUUGUAAAAUGUAGAACCUUCCACCAAGGGUCAGCAGUCUGCGUGAACAGGAUAUGGGGCAAAGAAGGUGUGAUUGUUUCACAUAUAGAAAAUAUCUUGCACAGAAAGCAAGUGACAUAUAGGUCUGGCAGUGCUGGGGAAUUAUUUCUGAAGCUCAGGGGAAGGAAGUGUUAUCCACAGCACUCGGGGAGGACAGCACUUGAUUUCUUCAUCACAGAUGCCAAGGAAAAAUUUCCGACGCUGUAGUCCUACUACUGUAGUUAUCAGCUUGUGCCAUUGGCAAGGAGCAAAGGGUGCGUAAUGCAACCAACCAAGACUUCAGUCUGCUCCUAGGAG